rnacentral:rRNA from 1 species
ACACGACUCUCGGCAACGGAUAUCUCGGCUCUCGCAUCGAUGAANAACGUAGCGAAAUGCGAUACCUGGUGUGAAUUGCAGAAUCCCGCGAACCAUCGAGUCUUUGAACGCAAGUUGCGCCCGAGGCCAUUNGGCCNAGGGCACGCCUGCCUGGGCGUCACGC